CGUUGCCUGGUGCAGGAACCCAUGGCUUACAACUUACAAACGGUUCAAAGCCUACCUUCCUCUGAAGGAGGAGUCUGUGGUUGGCUCCACCUCCCAGAGCGCUGAGAGCAGUCCUGGUUGGAGCUCUGGGUCUCUACUGUUCUGGAACCUUCUGAGUUGAUGGGGCCUUAUAGAGAACAGCCCACUUCUCGAUGACAGGCUGGUGYGAAUGGAAAACAACCCAUUCAACUGCCAAAUACACAACAGCAUAGAAACAUCUUAUUUUCAUCUGUCRUCUGAAAUGUUUWGCUUUUUCUUUUAUCGUUUUUUUAAUAUAUUUAUUUUUAACUGAAAGUUCAUUAAUGGAUAUAAUUUGGCUUAUUUCCAUCAAACUUAAAUGUGCAUCCUCAAAUGUUUAUACUGGAAGUUUUAUCAGUGAAUAGUAUUGUAAACUACUGUGAAGUCARACAUUUUUAUGUCUUUUCCCCAUUAAAAUCCCCCCAAAACUGUA